rnacentral:rRNA from 1 species
AGUGCCUAGGUCUCAAACUAAGACCGAGUCCUACUUGCGACCGCCGUACGGAAUGUGUACGUUCAGCCUGCCCUUCACCACAAAGGUCACCGCCUGCCCACUCAUUGCGCAUUCUUGGACGGGAACCCUCCCCUUGUUGUCGACCUUUGCCGACGAUUAUGGGGCAUCCGACUCCUCGUUUUCCUCCUUAGGCGGGCUCCUCCCCGAGCGCAGACUAAUCGAUCAACCACUCCGUUAUCGAAUGGUUCCGCUACUAGUCAUCGACCAGGCUCUCCUACUAGUCGGGGUGACCCUGACUCUGUGCCGGGUCUGAGGAUGCCCCCCGUCGUCACCCCUUAAAAGGCGUUACCCGCUUUCGACUGCCUCGUUACGGCGCACCUCCAUCUUCCGA